UUUAAAUGGCCGCAGUAUACUAACUGUGCAAAGGUAGCAUAAUCAUUAGUCUUUUAAUUGAAGGCUGGUAUGAAUGGUUGGACGAGAUAUUAACUGUUUCAUAAAAAUUUAUAAUAGAAUUUUAUUUUUUAGUCAAAAAGCUAAAAUAAAAUUAAAAGACGAGAAGACCCUAUAAAUCUUUAUACUUAGAUUAUUGUAAUUUUGUAGAUAUUUUUUAUUAUAAUAAUUAAUUGUAUUUUAUUGGGGUGAUAUUAAAAUUUAAUAAACUUUUAAUUUUUAAAAUCAUUAAUUUAUGAAUAAUUGAUCCGUUAAUAACGAUUAAAAAAAUAAGUUACUUUAGGGAUAACAGCGUAAUUUUUUUGGAGAGUUCAUAUCGAUAAAAAAGAUUGCGACCUCGAUGUUGGAUUAAGAUAUAAUUUUAGGUGUAGCCGCUUAAAUUUUAAG
rnacentral:rRNA from 1 species